GUUCUGUUUAUCUCCCGAUCUUUCGCUGAAAUCGACUGUAAAUGAUUGAUGCAUAAGUCUGUCGCUCGCGAUAUCCCAAAAAGUCUCUUUCUCUUGUUACGAUCACUGGAGGACGGACUCACGGCCCUAAGACGGACACACACGAGAGAACUCUUGAAGCCGCCGACAGCUAGCGUGUCGCCUGAAUAGUGGACUCGAGUACUCGACCACCGAUGCUCUGAGUGAGGUACCUACCUUUUCACUAUCACUUUGUGACGAACGCCUUUGUUUGCUGCAGCCUCCGUUCCAUAUGAUUGCUUCGCUGACAUGUUCCAACAUGACGCUAUCGAUACGAACAUUAAACACGACAAGCCUGUUGAUGAAAUGCUAUCGGAUUGGAUCCAGUGCGUUUGCGUCGUUACCUUUGAAUUGGAGCUUGGCCUGGCGGUGAAGUUGGUCUACCCCAGCGACAUCAAAUUAUCCGAGGAAAUUAAAACUAACCUCUGUUAUCAAGCGUUUCCCAACUCCAAUUCCAGAUGCAUGGGAAUCACUCAAUUCUAUGUCAAGAAAAAGUGUUCUCAAUCUUCAAAUCUCAGUCAACGCCAUACAAAAAAUAUUGCAAAAUUUCCAGUUUUUUUACAAGCUGAUCAUCGUUGUUUAUAUGGGUUUGUUUUCUUUUGACAAAUCAAAUAUAUGUCUUUCACGAGGAUAUUUUCAAAAAAGUUUCCCGUUGGCUUAUGCAAUAUUAACAGGAAAGACACAAGAAAUAUAUGUAGAGUUUCCGUCAUAUAUUAGAAAUGUAUUACUGUUAAUAUACAGUCAACUACCAAUAAUUAGUGACUAUGAAUUUGGAUUGAUGAAUGGGAUUAAAAUUAUAUUCCCUGAAAGCAAUCAAGCAAGGAUGUUACUUCCAUUUUUGCUUAGUAUCUAUAUAAAACAAUUAAAAUAUAAUUUUUGUCAGAAUAUAUAUGUAUAUCGAGAUUUAUAUGUUUUACUUUUCGUUUUAAGCAAUAAUCCGGUAUUUUAGAAAUAAAAAGACGAGCAUUUACAAUCUCAUUAAAAGGAAUCCAAUUGCUGCACGAGUGUUGAGAUUGGUUUUAGCUUUACCAUAUCUGCCUGCAGUUGGAACGGACAACUUUCUUUCAAUGAAGGAUGUAUUCAAACAAUUGUAGAUUAUGUUUACCAAUUUUCCCAAUUUCAUGAUGUAUUGUGAGGGAUUUUUAUUUAUAUUUGGAUGUAUCGGUUUGAAACGAUGAAACCUACUUAUAAUAAAAAUACCAAGAGCAUAUGGGUACACAUGUACACACGAGCAGUGUUUGGACAACUGGCAGCGUCGUCCGAGUAAUAUCCUGAAUACCCAUGUAUAAGCGAGGCGCUGCAUUCGUACACGUGUGGAGUCAAAAUGGAGUAUCAACACGGACGAGAGCAGCUAAUACAAAAACAGUUAAAGAUUACCUAACAGAUUUGACUGAAGAUUUACACGCAGAUCGACUGUUAAUAUUUUUGAGAUGAGCUGACACAGAGUAGAUGGAUAUAUUACACAAUAGUUUGGUCCUUAUCCAAGUGUGUUAUAAUUUAUAAUAUGAUAUUGUUAUUAAAUAUUCAAAUAUUGAUCUACAAUUUCAUAUGAAGAAGAGCUACUAGUAGCUGAUAAUGUUCAAUAAUAAUUUUACCUAUUUUUUUUAUAAGCCUGACAAUUUUGAAUUACAAAUUAAUUUUAAACUGUGUGUACCUAUUUAUUAAGAUUUUUGUAGUUUUUACCACGAUAGUUAAACUGUUUACUACGAUUAUUCAUGAAUAUUUCAUAUUAUUAUAAUAAUAUAAUAUGUGCAGUUGUACUAUUCACACAAAAUAGGUACUUAACUUUUAACUUUAAACUUAAUUAUAUUUUUCUAUAUGGACUUAACUUAACAAGUUAAAAAAAAAAUAUUUUACUAACCAGCCUUGUUUAUUAACAGUAACACAUUCAUAAUCAUUGUAGUAUACUAUUCAAUAUUAAUAACCACACCUUAAGUAUUUAAGCAUCUAUUAUAAAUGUAGAAUGUAUUUUUAUUU
rnacentral:lncRNA from 1 species